rnacentral:rRNA from 1 species
GACGAACGCUGGCGGCGUGCUUAACACAUGCAAGUCGAACGGAAAGGCCCUGCUUUUGUGGGGUGCUCGAGUGGCGAACGGGUGAGUAACACGUGAGUAACCUGCCCUUGACUUUGGGAUAACUUCAGGAAACUGGGGCUAAUACCGGAUAGGAGCUCCUGCUGCAUGGUGGGGGUUGGAAAGUUUCGGCGGUUGGGGAUGGACUGGCGGCUUAUCAGCUUGUUGGUGGGGUAGUGGCUUACCAAGGCUUUGACGGGUAGCCGGCCUGAGAGGGUGACCGGCCACAUUGGGACUGGGAUACGGCCCAGACUCCUACGGGAGGCAGCAGUGGGGAAUAUUGCACAAUGGGCGGAAGCCUGAUGCAGCAACGCCGCGUGCGGGAUGACGGCCUUCGGGUUGUAAACCGCUUUCGCCUGUGACGAAGCGUGAGUGACGGUAAUGGGUAAAGAAGCACCGGCUAACUACGUG